UCUGAAGAAGAAUUAUUCCUCAUUUUGCUAUUUCAAGAGUUCGAGAAGAAAAAGUUGCAGAAUGGGGGGAGAUGCAGGAUCUAAAGUUCUUCGAUUAUUCUCCUUCUUGGGCGCUGGAGUUAUCUGUGCAUCUGCAAUUAAUCUUUAUCGUGAUAUUGAGAGGAAAAAGUUGACACAGAAACAGAUUGCUGAGGAAAUUGUUGAAAAGGGGAAUAUGGUAAGCAAAGCUACUGUUGAGUAAACAGAUUAGGGUUGUAGGUUUCUAUUUCAAAUGGAAGUAGUAAUUUGUUGGUGUGAUUGUUUGAUUUUGGUAUAAUCUGUACUGAGAAAUAAGGGGUCUUUUGAUCAAUCUUUUCUGUCAUUAGAAUUUGGGUAUGAUGAUUUAUGCUGUUAACACUAAGAAUUUCCAUUAUGUAAAUUAGCUUGGAAAUUUUCAUAAUCCAUCCAAUUAACACCAAAAUAACCUGCUGUCAAACUAAGCUAUCUUGUUUAAAUAUCUACAAAUCUUUUUUCAGUGUGUA